UAAUAAGUGUUUUAUGGCACUUUUUAAAUCCAUAUCCACCUUGUGUGCGAAUGUCGGUCGAUCUUCUUUUUUUGAGGAUCGACCAAACAUCAACCUUUAUCUUUUAACUCUUUGUCUGAAAAAUAUUACUGAAUAAACAAUUCAAAAUA
rnacentral:misc_RNA from 1 species